ACUGCCUGAUCCACCGAAACCCGCUCCCAAGAAGGGCGCCAAGAAAGCUCCGUCCAAACCGGCGAGCAAGUCUGGCAAGAAGCGCAAGAGGUCGAGGAAGGAGAGUUACAAAGUGAUGAAGCAGGUUCACCCCGACACCGGCAUCUCCUCCAAGGCCAUGAGCAUCAUGAAUUCAUUCGUGAACGAUAUCUUCGAGCGCAUCGCGGGUGAGGCAUCCCGCCUGGCCCAUUACAACAAGCGGUCCACCAUCAGCUCCCGGGAGAUCCAGCCGUGCGCCUGCUGCUGCCCGGGGAGCUGGCCAAGCACGCCGUGUCCGAAGGGACAAUGGCGGUGACCAAGUACACCAGCUCCAACUGAAGACAAGUUUACUGACAAAACAAACGGGAAAAUCAAAGGAUCUUUUAAGAGCCACUCACGGUUUCAUUAAAAGAAUAUUGCGACAUGGACUUGAGACAGCUGCACCAUAGACCCUGAAAGUGACAUCAGGAAUAUCUUCUCCGCAAGUUACAGUGAGCAUCUGGGUUAAAACUGAUCAACAGCACAAGGAAAAUAUGUGCGAAAGUCUGAGAUGCAUAUUCCCACAUAGCUGUCCAGAACACAGCAUGCAACCGUUUGAAUUUUGUUGAGAAAUCUGUCCGCGACCAAGGCAGUUCAUACUGGAUUGGAAAAUGCAACUAUGGGAGAGUGGCCUCGAAUAUCGUGUUCCAAAUGAAGGCUGGAGUCUUCGAAUGCAUUGAAUGUGGAUGGUACCCUCACUUUGAACAUUGCAGU